CCAUGUGAAAGGGUCCAAGGAUAUCCAUUCCCCAUUGCGCAAACGACCAUGGGGCACUCAAGGGUGUAAGCUCUGCAGCGGGCUAUCUCUGGACAUUGGCAUACCUCUGACAUCGGUCACACUUUCUGACGUAUUCAAUGGAGUCACGAUACAUUGUCGGUCAGUAAUACCCUUGGCGGAGUAACUUGUGGGAUAAGGAUCUAGCCCUUAGAUGG
rnacentral:lncRNA from 1 species